GAUGAACGCUAGCGAUAGGCUUAACACAUGCAAGUCGAGGGGCAGCAUGGUCUUAGCUUGCUAAGGCUGAUGGCGACCGGCGCACGGGUGCGUAACGCGUAUGCAACUUGCCUCACAGAGGGGGAUAACCCGUCGAAAGACGGACUAAUACCGCGUACACUCUAUGUUGGGCAUCCAAUGUAGAGGAAAUGAAAUUCGCUGUGAGAUAGGCAUGCGUCCCAUUAGCUAGUUGGUGAGGUAACGGCUCACCAAGGCGACGAUGGGUAGGGGAACUGAGAGGUUGAACCCCCACACUGGUACUGAGACACGGACCAGACUCCUACGGGAGGCAGCAGUGAGGAAUAUUGGUCAAUGGGCGAGAGCCUGAACCAGCCAAGUCGCGUGAACGAUGACUGUCUUAUGGAUUGUAAACUUCUUUUAUACGGGAAUAACAAGAGUCACGUGUGGCUCCCUGCAUGUACCGUAUGAAUAAGCAUCGGCUAACUCCGUG
rnacentral:rRNA from 1 species